rnacentral:rRNA from 1 species
GGGCGUAGGAUAUUUGAGAGGAGCUGCCCUUAGUACGAGAGGACCGGGGUGGACUGACCUCUGGUGUACCGGUUGUAUUACCAAGUGCAUAGCCGGGUAGCCAAGUCGGGACGGGAUAAACGCUGAAGGCAUCUAAGCGUGAAGCCCCCCUCAAGAUAAGAUAUCCCUGACGUAAGUCAAUAAGACCCCUUGAAGACGACGAGGUAGAUAGGUCCGAGGUGGAAGUACAGUAAUGUAUGCAGCUGACGGAUACUAAUAGGUCGAAGGCUUGACCUUA